GAAAGUAUUAAAACUGCAGAGGAAAGGAACUAGAAUUAACAUAUAAAAUCCAGUAAAUAAGUGUCCAAAAUACUGCUGAACUGAAUGAGGAAGUAAAUAAAAAAGAGCGACUUCCCGCCUGGAAACAACCUCUUGAUUUGGACAUCGACUUCCGGGAUCACUUAACAGUAAGUUUCUUGCAUUCGCAUCAACGUUUGGACCAGCAGUUUAAUUUGGGAAAAUAACUUCGGAAUAUAAUUUGAGCAUUAACAGAAGAUUUCGUCUUUCUAUUUUUAUUGAAGAUGCAAAACAAACUGUUGACGAUUUACUGGCUAGAAAACUGACCGAUGAAUCACAACACACCAGUGACGAUAUUGCCGACCUCUUCAAAAUCGAACUUGGGUACUCAGCUCCACUUUACAAGGACGAUCGAGCUUGAAGAAGGUACGGAUUUGACAGCUAAGAAAAGUGAAAAUCUUUCAGCCAACCUUGGAUGAUAUUUUCGGGAGGCAAUCGUGGUUUUGAAAAAGUGUGAACAAGAAUAAAUAUAUCAAGUGCGUUAAGGAAAUUUGGCUUAAGGAACUUCAGUGCUACUGGCUGUUUUGGAUUUCUGCGAGACGAAGAAGUUGUUUCCGGCUGCCCCGAACGCUGCUGACUGUAUUGGACGAAUAACAGGCAAUUAAAUUUGGCCGGAAGUUUGAUUGCGUUCCCAUCUCGAUGUUGAAGAGCUCGAUGAUAGCGGAAGUGAUACCAACAUCGAGCUGGCUUAGGAUGACUGGAAUUUCUGGUCAUGCAGGCUUUUCCGUAGCGGCGCCGUCGGGUCACUUGACUGCACCCAGCCGGGACAACUACGCGCUGUCGCAUUUUGCUCGCUCACCCAUUUGCACCCAGUCGCUGACCGACUGGCUCGCGUACACACUUGUGACAAAAAUAUGGUCCGUGACAGUGUAUGUUGCGAUUAUGUUAAAUCGAUUAAGUUUCGCAUGUUUUUUGCUUUCGUUGGUGCAUGUUA